rnacentral:rRNA from 1 species
UCUGCCCUUGNGUCGGAAUAACUCAGAGAAAUUUGAGCUAAUACCGGAUGAUGACGUAAGUCCAAAGAUUUAUCGCCCAAGGAUGAGCCCGCGUAGGAUUAGCUAGUUGGUGGGGUAAAGGCCUACCAAGGCGACGAUCUUUAGCUGGUCUGAGAGAAUGAUCAGCCACACUGGGACUGAGACACGGCCAGACUCCUACGGGAGGCAGCAGUGGGGAAUAUUGGACAAUGGGCGAAAGCCUGAUCCAGCAAUGCCGCGUGAGUGAUGAAGGCCUUAGGGUUGUAAAGCUCUUUUACCAGGGAUGAUAAUGACAGUACCUGGAGAAUAAGCUCCGGCUAACUCCGUGCCAGCAGCCGCGGUCAAUACGGAGGGAGCUAGCGUUGUUCGGAAUUACUGGGCGUAAAGCGUGCGUAGGCGGUGACUCAAGUCAGAGGUGAAAGCCUGGAGCUCAAUCCAGAACUGCCUUUGAAAACCUAGGUCGCUAGAAACCUGGGAGACGGUGAAGUGGAAUUCCCGAGGUGUACAGGCUCGAAAUUCGUANAUCAUUCCGGAAGAAACCACCCAGUUGGGCUGACAAGAGCGGCUCACCUUGGGACCCCC